GUGACCUCAAAUCAGGUAGGACUACCCGCUGAACUUAAGCAUAUCAAUAAGCGGAGGAAAAGAAACUAACAAGGAUUCCCCUAGUAACUGCGAGUGAAGCGGGAAAAGCUCAAAUUUAAAAUCUGGCAGCCUUUGGUUGUCCGAGUUGUAAUCUAGAGAAGUGUUAUCCGCGCUGGACCGUGUACAAGUCUCCUGGAAUGGAGCGUCAUAGAGGGUGAGAAUCCCGUCUUUGACACGGACUGCCAGGGCUUUGUGAUGCGCUCUCAAAGAGUCGAGUUGUUUGGGAAUGCAGCUCAAAAUGGGUGGUAAAUUCCAUCUAAAGCUAAAUAUUGGCGAGAGACCGAUAGCGAACAAGUACCGUGAGGGAAAGAUGAAAAGAACUUUGGAAAGAGAGUUAAACAGUACGUGAAAUUGCUGAAAGGGAAACGCUUGAAGUCAGUCGCGUUGUCCAGGGAUCAACCUUGCUUUUGCUUGGUGCACUUUCUGGUUGACGGGUCAGCAUCAAUUUUGACUAUUGGAAAAAGAUUAGGGGAAUGUGGCAUCUUCGGAUGUGUUAUAGCCUUUAGUUGUAUACAAUGGUUGGGAUUGAGGAACUCAGCACGCCGCAAGGCCGGGUUUUUAACCACGUACGUGCUUAGGAUGCUGGCAUAAUGGCUUUAAUCGACCCGUCUUGAAACACGGACCAAGGAGUCUAACAUGCCUGCGAGUGUUUGGGUGGAAAACCCGAGCGCGUAAUGAAAGUGAAAGUUGAGAUCCCUGUCGUGGGGAGCAUCGACGCCCGGACCAGACCUUUUGUGACGGUUCCGCGGUAGAGCAUGUAUGUUGGGACCCGAAAGAUGGUGAACUAUGCCUGAAUAGGGUGAAGCCAGAGGAAACUCUGGUGGAGGCUCGUAGCGAUUCUGACGUGCAAAUCGAUCGUCAAAUUUGGGUAUAGGGGCGAAAGACUAAUCGAACCAUCUAGUAGCUGGUUCCUGCCGA
rnacentral:rRNA from 4 species